GGCGAACGCUGGCGGCGUGCUUAACACAUGCAAGUCGAGCGGUAAGGCCCUUUCGGGGGUACACGAGCGGCGAACGGGUGAGUAACACGUGGGUGACCUGCCCUUAGCUCUGGGAUAAGCCUGGGAAACGUGGGUCUAAUACCGGAUAUGACUCCAUAACGCAUGUUGUGGGGUGGAAAGCCUUGUGCGGCUAGGGAUGGGCCCGCGGCCUAUCAGCUUGUUGGUGGGGUGAUGGCCACCAAGGCGACGACGGGUAGCCGGCCUGAGAGGGCGACCGGCCACACUGGGACUGAGACACGGCCCAGACUCCUACGGGAGGCAGCAGUGGGGAAUCUUGCGCAAUGGGCGAAAGCCUGACGCAGCGACGCCGC
rnacentral:rRNA from 1 species